GACAGAGGUGCCGAGCGUUAGGCGGAAUCACUGGGCUUAAAGCGUGUGUAGGCGGACUCGUAAGUGCUUUGUGAAAUCCCACGGCUCACCCGUGGAACUGCUUGGCAUACUGCGAGCCUUGAGCCACUUAGGGGCAACCGGAACAAACGGUGGAGCGGUGAAAUGCGUAGAUAUCAUUUGGAACGCCAAUGGUGAAAACAGGUAGCUGGGGGUGUGCUGACACUGAGACACGAAAGCCAGGGGAGCAAACGGG
rnacentral:rRNA from 1 species